AGGACGUUACGGAGCCCUGCUGGUAUUGCAUGAUGUCUCUGCUUCGUGAGGACCUGAGUCUGAGUCAGCCUCUGCUGCAAUUGAGGGGUGAUGUCUGCUCGCCGCCCCCUGGUGGCAGAAGUCCAAGCUACCAGACGGACCCCAGGCCCCACUUUGGAAUUCCAAACUCGUCUCGCUCCACGCCCUUCCCUCUGUGGGGCAGCAGAGGGCCUCGUGAGUUCAGGAAGGAGGAGAGGAGGAGGAGGAAGAGGAGGAGGAGGUAUGCAUGUGUCCUCACUGCAACCUGGCCCUUCCUCCAGACACACUCCGCUGGCACCGAGGCAAAAUGUGUAUUAUUCGAAGGCCUGACAAACACAACAGCAACAACAAGUGAUUGAUCUCUUACACUAUUUAUCCUUUGGAAGAUCUUUUAGCCAUGAUAACGAAUCCCCAAAGAGACCACAGUGGUGCAUAGCAUUGCAUGGUGGAAGUCCUUCAUGUCAAUAGGAUGCCACAGCAAGCACUGUACAGACUACUGACAUUCAUAAAGUUUUGAAACAUCAUUCAUCCUACCUUGUGAGAAAGAUAUUCAUUUUUCAUGUAUUUAACACAGGUAUCCAGGGACUCUUUUAAAAUCUGUCAGCUUGGAUUUCCGUAAUCAUUACAGUAAUGUGCAUGUUGUCAAAGCCGACUUAUAAUCGAACUCAUGUAUUGCCACUUCAACCUCAUCAGGAUUUAGAUCGCAAACAAACCUUGAAUGCUUUCUGAUACUUCUGUUUAUUAUUUAUAUUUGGUUUCAGUGGAUCAGCUCAGUAAAAGGCAUCAUUGCUCUUUUAACUGUAAUUUCCAUUUUUCCAGUUUUACAGAAUAAAACUAAUAAAUUAACUGUAAAACAGUUCAUAUAAAAUAAAACUACACACUAUAUCUCUACAAAAUUAAAUGUAUUUUUAUAAUAAAAUGUAUUUUCUUGAAAUAAAA